rnacentral:rRNA from 1 species
GAUGAACGCUGGCGGCGUGCCUAAUACAUGCAAGUAGAACGCUGAAGCUUGGUGCUUGCACCGAGCGGAUGAGUUGCGAACGGGUGAGUAACGCGUAGGUAACCUGCCUCUUAGCGGGGGAUAACUAUUGGAAACGAUAGCUAAUACCGCAUUAAAGUCGACAUCGCAUGAUGUUGACUUGAAAGGUGCAAAUGCAUCACUAAGAGAUGGACCUGCGUUGUAUUAGCUAGUUGGUGAGGUAACGGCUCACCAAGGCGACGAUACAUAGCCGACCUGAGAGGGUGAUCGGCCACACUGGGACUGAGACACGGCCCAGACUCCUACGGGAGGCAGCAGUAGGGAAUCUUCGGCAAUGGGGGCAACCCUGACCGAGCAACGCCGCGUGAGUGAAGAAGGUUUUCGGAUCGUAAAGCUCUGUUGUAUGAGAAGAACGAGUGUGAGAGUGGAAAG